rnacentral:lncRNA from 1 species
GCUUCCCCGCCCGGCCGCCGCCAUGAUGAGGAGGUCGGCGCGGCUGUGCUGCGGGCAGGCAGCGGAGAGGGCUCGCGGCGAGGGCUCCAGCUUACCCCGCCGCCGCGUCGCGUGCACGGAGCGCUUCAGAGGUUUGGAGGGGGCCGGAACCUCAAAAGCAACUGGAUGAGCACAACGCGGACGCCCCGGAGAAGCGGCGCAAGCGGGCCCAAAAUGGUUGCUGAUCAGACGAGUGGCAUCUCUCGCCCCCCUACCGCGGGAAUUGGGACCUCCAGACUGUGCCUGGGGGAUCGGCAAGUGGUUCCCCUCUGGUUUUUUCGGCGCUGCCUUCCCGGUGGUAUCCUCACUCUCUCUCUUUGAAAUGACCUCUGCUUUCCUAUCUCUAACUCUUCCCAGAUAUUUGAAAGCAAGUUUUUGUACAAAGCAACAUAUGAAUGUAUUCAGCCAUUCGAUCGUUCGGCGAACAUUUCUAGGUGUCUCGUGCUGUGCCAGAUAUUGUUCUGAGUGCGCUGAAGAUGCACCUGUUAGCAAGACAAAGUCCUGGCUCCCACGGAGCUUAUUCGAAGCAAUAGGGGCCCCCAAGCAGGUGCCUGAGAAGUAGGGAGGGGUGGACAGUGGGAAAACAACCUAACGGUGGAGACACACGAGGGGUCUUUUUUUACUUUUAGAAACGGGGGUGGGUGGUCACCCUAUGUUGCCUAGGCUGGUCUCGAACUCCUGGGCCCAAGCGAUCCUCCCGACUCAGCCUCCCAAAGUGCUGGUAUUACAGGACACCAUGCCCGGCAGAGGGGUCGUUUUUGUUGUUUUUUUAGUGUCGUCAGGAGACUCCCUCCAUCAGAAUUACUCAGGCUGAUUGUUUUGAGUCCUGGGACCCAGUUGGUAUCCAGAAUCUUGGCUUGUUUGCCUAGGAACCUGCAUUUUCACAUCCCCAUCUCCACACCCCUGGUGAUUCUUAUGCAUAUAAUAAUGUGAAAAGCAUUGCAUUGAAGAAUUGCUAAAGGGUGUCAGAAAACGGAUUAACAAAAUCAGGAAGCUUUAAUUUUCAAGAUUCUAUUAACCUCAAAAUUCAACAUAUCCAAAAAUUGAAUGUCUUUUUCUCCAGUGUUUUCUAGGAGAGUGCCAACACUAGCCACCCAAGUGCUCAAGCCAGAAACCUGGAAAUGAUCCAUUACUCUUUCCUCUGUCUCUGGAGUCCCCAUGUUAAAUUAGAUGUGUUUGUUUGUGAGACAGAUUCUCACUCUAUUACCUAGGCUGGAGGGCAGUGGUGCAAUCAUUGUUCACUGCAGCCUCGACCUCUCUGGGCUCAAGGAUCCUCCCACCUCAGCCUCCCCAGUAGCUGGGACUACAGGUCCCCACCACCACGCCCGGCUAAUUUUUGUAUUUUUAGUAGAGAUGAGGUUUCAUCUUGUUGGCCCGGGCUGGUCUCGAACUCCUAGGCUCAAGUGAUCUGCCUGCCUUAACCUCCCAAAGUGCUGGGAUUACAGCCGUGAGCCACUGCACCCAGCCCCAAUUAGAUUUUUAAAACUGUUGUUCCCUGUCAGUUCUUACUCUGGUUCAGGCUACUGUCAUCUCUCCUAGAGACACUGCGGUAGACUCCUCUUGGUCUCCCUGCCACCGAAAUUGCCCUCUCCAAAUCCACUACAGCUUGAAUGGUCUUUCAAGAAAGAAAAUCAUGUUUUUUCCCUGUUUAAGACUCUUAAAAAGAUCUGAUUAACACGUAGGAUAAAGUCUAAAAUUCUUUGAGGUGGCUACAGGGCCAUUGGUGAUCUCAUCCCUGUUGCCAUCUCUGACCUCAUCUGCCACAGAUAUUUCUCAGGCUACACUCAAAACUGGGAAGCUCUCAGGUCAUUUAAGCCUGGAAAUUGUGCCACCUCACAACUGUUGCAAGGGCUGUUCCCUUUGCCCAUAACUUCAUUUCUCUCUACACCAUCUAUGCACUUACUUGAAUCCUCACCUGAAUAAUUCUUACCAUUCUUUCAGAUCCCAACAUUAAUACCAUCGCCUCCAGGCAGCAUUUUUUCAUCUCCCAAGAUUGGGUGCAUUAGACCCUUUGUCAUCACACCCAGUACUCCCCACGUUUAUUGAGCGCUCACGAUGCGUCAGGCCCUAGUGGAAGCCUUUAUGCACAUUAUCUUCUUUCUCAUUUAAUUAUCAAGUAGAGCCCACAAGGUAGGUACUACCUUUUUUUUAACUUUUGAGACAGGGUCUCACUGUAUCUCCCAGACUGGAAUACAGUGGCGCAAACACAGCUCACUGCAGUCUCAUCCUGGGCUCAAGCAAUCCUCCCAUCUCAGCCUCCUGAGUAGCUGGGACCACAGGCAGAUGCCUGUUGCCCAGGCUGGUCUCCAACUCCUGGGCUCAAGCCGUUCUACCUUAGCCUCCUAAAGUGCAGGGAUUACAGGUGUGCAACUGUGCCCGGCCUGGGUAGUUACUAAUAUUAUCCCAUUUUACAGAUGAAGAAACAAGGACAUAUAGGGGUUACUUGCCCAAACCCAGACAAUAAGCUAGAUCUGAAAGUCAUCAGCCUGACCUCAGAGUUGUACUUUUAACCAUUAUCAGGGUCUCAGGCCAGUACCCACUGAUGAAACACAUAAGUAACUUAGUGGGUCAUUACCAACAUUUCAUUAAAGAAAUAGAAAAUGGCAGAGAACAUCAAACUUAGUAAGGCUCUUGUUUCGUGAAACUUGUCAGAUUCUCUAAUAUGAUAAAUACUAAAUCUUACAAACAUUGAAAAUACAAAAUUAAACAAAAUAUUACCAAGGUUAACACAAAAGUAUGAAUACUGCAGAUCUGAUUUAUUUUACUAUCCUCAUCUUUAAUGCAGAACCUUCUUAGGAUUAAAUGACAUUUACCAUUCUGAGCAAACUGAGGUUACUGCCCCAAACGGACUGGGCUUACCUUUGCAGGAGAACAGGGGAGGCUGUGUUUUGGCUGGAGAUUUUUGGCUAAGAGUCAAGACACAGAGAUUCUUCUGCUACCACUGUGAACACAUCAAGUCCCUUUCACAUAGAUGCUGUUUCCACAAGGGUCUCCCCACACCCUUCCCUACAGAUUAGAUUCCCGUGAUGCCUUAUUUAAUUCUUGUUGGAUCUGUUGAUUUGGUUAUGAAGUAGGUGAAAUUCUGGUAACCUCACCCAGGUUCCUUCCCCUCUUGAUUAGAUCCAGCCAGUCUGUUCGCUGGAUGAUUAAAUUUGGCAUUCAUUUUUCUGUGCUUUCCCUAUCUGCUACUAUCCUAAAGUCAUUCUAAUGACCAAAAAAGGUGCCUUGAGCCAGACUGUAGAGGGUUCUAAUGGCCUCCUUAGAAAUUGUGUUUUUUUGUUUUUUUUUUGAGAUGAGGUUUCGCUCUUGUUGCCCAGGUUGGAGUGCAAUGGUGCGAUCUUGGCUCACUGCAACCUCCGCCUCCCGGGUUCAAGCGAUUCUCCUGCCUCAGCCUCUCAAAUAGCUGGGACUACAGGCAUGCGCCACCACGCCCGGCUAAUUUUGUGUUUUUAGUAGAGACGGGGUUUCACCAUGUUGCCCAGGCUGGUCUCGAACCCCUGACCUCAGGUGACCCACCCACCUCGGCCUCCCAAAGUGCUGGGAUUACAGGCCUGAGCCACCAUGCCUGCCAAGGAACUGGUUCUUAGUAGGCAAUAGACAGUUGACAAUUUUGAGCUAAGCACUAAGGUCAUAGGAGUGUAGAUUCACCAGGGAGUGAGUUGGGCUUCUGGUCUCUAGAGGGCGCUCAAGGCUUCUCCCUCCCCACCCUCUUCCUUCCCCCAAGGUGGAGGUAGGAUGGUGAAGAAAUUUCAUCUCCCCACCACCAAACACACACAAAGGAAGAAAAUCUUACUAAAAUUGGAGAAUAUGGAAUAACAUUUUCUUGGGAUGGAGCCCUUAAAAGAUAACACGUUCAACAGAAAGUGCUGCGUCUUUCCCGUUCUUCAACAUACUCUGAGUGGUAACAAGGGCUGCCCUUGCCUUUCUCAGAGGCAGCCCAGCCAGCUUGUUCUCUUUCCCUCUCCCACAAGGUAGCCAGGCCCUAAGGCUAUGGCCCACAGAAAAAGUCUUAGCAAGGCCCCGGGCUUGGGGCAAAGAGGCUGUGGAUUUGUCUUUCUCUCUACUUUUUCUGGUUAGUGUGCCUCUAUCCCACUCGGAAGAAAAGUUCCAAGACUCAAAUUUGGGCAUUGAUGUGGGGAGGAUAGACAGAGAUGACCAGAAUCCAGCCUAUCUUUCCUGACUUCUGCAUUGUGGUUCAUACCCAGCUAAUAAUAAAGUGUUCCUUUCCCUGGUGUGUCAUUGCACAUGUACUCCCCACACUCCUGAUGAGUAGAGAUGGCUGGCCAAGACAGGAUUCAGACAUUCCCACAUCCCCAACCAAACAUCCUCUCCAUACCAUCUUAUUAAUCAGUCUUUGAACAAUUUCCUAAACUCCCUAACAGGUUGGAGAUGGCUGGAAGAAAUGAAAAGAAGAACGCCAACAAAGGCGAUAAAGAAAAAUUCAACACUGCUUGAUAACUGAUGAGAUAGUGAAGGAGUAGGAGGGCAAAAGUCAGAAGUAAUUCCAGGUGUUCAAGAACUAAAUGCUGAAGAGAUGUUAGUGUCGUUGACGGUCUUCUAAUGGGAAGUGAAUUUCAAUAGAAAGAGGAUGUGUUUGGUUUCAGACAGACCGAGUGACUGGUGACAACAGGAAAGCCACGUGUUUGGAGCAGAUUACUCGGUACAGUCAGCAGCUGGAAUGGAAGUGAAGAAGGCCCAGCAGAGCAUCAGACCUGAGUGCAAACUAUGGUGGUGUUGGUGGAAUAGAGGGAAGGGAGAGAUUUGAGAGACAUUGGGAAGAAAGGUUUUGGUUUUUGAGACAGAGUCUUGCCCUGUCAUCCAGGCUGGAGUGCAGUGGCAUAAUCUUGGCUUACAGCAAACUCCACCUCCCGGGUUCAAGCAAUUAUCAUGCCUCAGCCCCCUAAGUAGCUGGAAUUACAGGCAAGUGCCACCACAUUCAGCUAAUUUUUGUAUUUUUAGUAGAGACAGGGUUUCACCAUCUUAGCCAGGCUGGUCUCAAACUCCUGACCUCAGGUGAUCCACCUGCCUCGGCCUCCCAAAGUGCCGGGAUUACAGGUGUGAGUCACCAUGCCCAGCCACCAGAAGUUUAAUCAAGGCUCAGAGACUGAUUCCAGUUUGAGUUUUCUAAUAACUGUCUAAUACUUAGCUAAUAGCUUUGGACAGUUGCUCUUUUUAAAAUGAGAUCAUUCAAUCAUUGCAUUCAUCUUUGGGUAUGACUCACUAGUCAACAGAGUCCCCCUUCUGUAGAAACUGCCUCAUUCACAGAGAUGACCUCCACCAGUCAUGCCUAUAUUUGAGACCCUGUCUCUCUUUAUCCCCCAUUGCUGCGUGAUUCAAGGGUGGUCACCUGACCCAGGCAGUGCCAAGUUUAUUCUCUGUCUUGGGAAUUUAGAAUGUUUGUUUGGCUAAGAGACACAGAAACUGGAAGCUGGAGCUGAUGAUGGAGCUGAUCACGCUAAUGAUGGAGCUAUAGAGAUAAGAUGCAUGAACACCACCGAGGUCCCCAAGAUUGCCAUAUUCCUGCAGUGCCUUCUGGCCACAGAUAGUUGGUCCAGAAGCAGGUUCCUGACUCAACCUGGGCCAAUUAGAGCCUUUCACGGAGAUUUUGAAAUCAAAGUUGAGAUCUCUCUUUCUCUCUAUGCCCUUUGGUGUAUGUGUACUUGAGCUACAAGUUACCCAACUUUGGAAGCUGUAGACAGAGGCAAUUUUCCACUAAAUGAAGUGAGAAACAGAAAGUCCAUCAUUAGUGAGAGAGGAGCAAGGCAGAUGCACACAGAGAAGCAGAUAGAGGGGAAGCGGGCGGGAGUGGGGCGGGAGUUCCUGGAGUCCCCACAGUGCUCUAGUUUCUGAUUCUCUUCCUAAGACCCACAGGAUUCCUGCCUUUGGGUUUCUUAAGUUCCUGAAUAGCUCCUGAUUGCCUUUGUCUUUUUUACGAAAGUCCUUUGAGCAUGGUUUCAGGUGAGCAGACAGUCCUAACCUAAAGAGCUGUAACAAAUACACGUGGGCUGUGUGUGAGAUUCGGGGAGAGGCACCAGGGAUCCAGUGUGGGUCAGGCGUGGUGCCGCCCUCAAGGAACUUAGUGGGGAGAAAAUGAAGUCUGUACUUCAAUAACUACAGUGCAGGCUAGGAAGAGAACACCCUUAGAGAUGUGCAAAUCAAGCUCUUUGGGAGUUUAGAGGAGGCCUAGGACUGCUAAGGAAAGGCUGGGACUAGGAAGAGGUAAGCAAGUCACUGAGGAGGCAAAAUUUAAGAAGCCACCCACUCUCAGGGUGUGUGAAUGCAGCGUUGGCACUUGCAUGACCCUGAGAAUGAGCAACCCCUUAAAUGUAUCUUAGGCACCUUGCCAGACUCACUUUUAGCUUGCUGGACUAAUUGUGGGGAUCAGUAGGCCUUCAGAGGAAAGUUAGUGUCUGAGCUGAACUGAAGGAUGGGGUGGUUUUGGACUUGGUGGCAAUGUCAUCUACCUCAAGGUAAAGUAACAAUAUGGAAAACGCUCCCGUGAAAAUUCACAAGGUCUGUUCUAGGAUCAUCAGGCUCUUCGGUGUGACUUAAGAGUUCAGAGCAUGAAGGAGGAGGGGGCAGUAAGAAAAAUGGAGAGAACGUAGCAUCAGAUUCUGCAGGCAAGGAGAAAAUUGCUAAGCUGGGAAAUAACAUAAUCAGAGCGGUACUUAAGAUGAAUCUAACGGAAUAGCAUGAAAUAAAGGAAAGGCUAAGGAGAGGACAAACAGGAGGCUAUUGUGGCAAUCCAGGCGUGAAAGUCUAAACUAAUCAGCACUGGGAAUAGAGAUGCCAUAGGAAAAAUAAUACAUCAUUAAUAUAACUUGGCAAUUGAGUAGAUGUUGGAGACAAGAGAGAAAUCAGAAACACUGCUAAACACUAUGCAGCUAUAACAAAGAAUGAGAGAGCAUUCAGUAAGAUCACAUCCAAGAUAUGUACAUGAAAAACACAAGGGAUAGAACUGUGUAUAUGGCAAGCUAUCACUUGCAUUUUUUAUUUUUUAAAUGGUAUUUAUUUAUUUCUUGUUUUUUCCUUUUUUUAAGACUAAAAAAUCAAUUAUAAAAUCCUCAACCACUUGACUUUUUUUUUAAGUUCCUGGGUACAUGUGCAGGACGUACAGGUUUAUUAUAUAGGUAAACGUGUGCUAUGGUGGUUUGCUGCACCUAUCAACCCAUCACCUAGGUUUAAGCCCCGCAUGCAUUAGCUCUUUUCCCUAGUGCUCUUCCCCCACCAUCCUCCCCUGACAGGCCCCGGUAAGUGUUGUUCCCCUCCCUGUGUUCUCAUUGUUCAGCUCCCACUUAUAAGUGAGAACAUGUAAUGUUUGGUUUUCUAUUCCUGCAUUAGUUUGCUAAGGAUAAUGGCUUCCAGCUCCAUUUAUGUCCCUGUAAAGGACAUGAUCUUGUUUUUUUAUGGCUGCGUAGUAUUCCAUGGUGUAUAUGUACCACAUUUUCUUUAUUCAGUCUAUCAUUGAUGGGCAUUUGGGUUGAUUCCAUGUCUUUGCUAUUGUGAAUAGUGCUGCAAUGAACAUACGUGUACAUGUAUCUUUAUAACAGAGUGAUUUAUAUUCCUUUGGGUAUACACCCUGUAAUGGGAUUGCUGGGUCAAAUGGUAUUUCCAGUUCUAAAUCUUUGAGGAAUCGCCACACUGUCUUCCACAAUGGUUGAACUAAUUUACAUUCCCACGAACAGUGUAAAAGCAUUCCUAUUUCUCUGCAAUCUCACCAGCAUCUGUCAUUUCUUGACUUUUUAAUAAUCGCCAUUCUGACUGGUGUAAGAUGGUAUCUCAUUGUGGUUUUGAUUUGCAUUUCUCUUUUUUUUUUUUUUUUUUUUUGAGACAGUUUCAAAAACUUGUUGCCAAGGCUGGAGUGCAAUGGUGUGAUCUUGGCUCACUACAACCUCUGCCUCCUGGGUUCAAGUGAUUCUUCUGCCUCAGCCUCCCAAGUAGCUAGGAUUACAGGUGUAUGCCACCACGCCCAGCUAAUUUUUGUAUUUUUACUAGAGACGGGGUUUCACUAUGUUGGCCAGGCUGAUCUUGAACUCCUGACCUCAAGAGAUCUGCCCACCUCCGCCUCCCAAAGUGCAGGGAUUACAGGCGUAAGCUUCCACGCCCAGCUGAUGGUAGUUUCUUUUGCUAUGCAUAAGCUCUUUAGUUUAAUUAGAUCCCAUUUGUUGAAUUUUGCUUUUGUUGCGAUUGUUUUUGGCAAUUUUAUCAUAAAAUCUUUGCCCAUUCCUAUGUCCUGAAUGGUAUUGUCUAGAUUUUCUUCUAGGGUUUUUGUAGUUUGGGGUUUUACAUUUAAGGCUUUAAUCCAUCUUGAGUUAAUUUUUGUAUAAAGGUGUAAGGAAAGGAUCGAGUUUCAGUUUUCUGCAUAUGGCUAGCCAGUUCUCCCAUCACCAUUUAUUAAACAGGAAAUCCUUUCCCCAUUGCUUGUUUUGGUUUGUCAAAGAUCAGAUGGUUGUAGAUGUGCGAUUUUAUAUGUGCUGCCAAAGUGAGCACUAUUUAUUUAUUUUUUUAAACAGAGUCUCACUGUGUUGCCCAGGCUGGAGUGCAGUGGCAUGAACAUAGCUCACGUAGCCUUAUUUGCAUUUGUAAAAGGGAAAUAUGUUUUGUUUUGUUUUUUGAGACAGAGACUCACUCAGUCGCCCAGGCUGGAGUGCAGUGGCACCAUCAUGGCUCACCACAGUCUCAACCUCCCCAGGCUCAGGUGAUUCUUCCACCUCAGCCUCUGGAGUAGCUAGGAUUACAGGUGUGCGCCACUACACCCAGAUAAUUUUUUUUUUCUUGAGAUGGUGUCUCGCUCUGUCACCCAGGGCUGGAGUGCAAUGGUGUGAUCUCGGCUCACUGCAACCUCCGCCUCCCAGGUUCAAGUGAUUCUCCUACCUCAGCCUCCCAAGUAACUGGGACUACAGGCACCUGCCACCACACCCAGCUACUUUCUGUAUUUAUAGUAGAGAUGGGGUUUCGCCAUGUUGGCCAGACUGAUCUUGAACUCCUGACCUCAGGUGAUCCACCCGCCUCAGCCCCCCAAAGUGCUGGGGUUACAGGCACAAGCCACCGUGCCUGGCCCUUUUUUUUUUUUUUUUGUAUUUUUUUAGUAGAGACGGUGUUUCACUGUGUUGUCCAUGUUAGUCUUAAACUCUUGGGCUCAAGAGAUCUGCCCAACUUGGCUUCCCAAAGUGCCAUAAAGGCAUGAGCCACUGCACCUGGCCAUAAAAAGGAAAUAUGUAAACAAACAUCUUUGCUUACAUAUGUUUAUAUAUCCCUAGAGAAAUACGUACAAAAUUGAUGACAUUAAGUGGCCUGUUUAAGAGAAGUGGGGUGGCUGGGGGUCAGUAGUGAAAGAGAGUCUUUUUAGUGUUUAUAAUUUGAAUAUUUUAAAUCUUGAACCUUUUGGAUGAAUUAGCUAAUGAAGAAAAUUAGUUUAAAUUGCUUUUAAAAAUAAAUAAGUAUGAGCCGGG